GGCCCGGUCGCCAAGUGGUAAGGCUAGGGUCUGCAAAACCCUCAUCGUCGGUUCGAUUCCGUCCCGGGCCUCCA
rnacentral:tRNA from 1 species